CCUGCAUGAAGUCGGAAUUGCUAGUAAUCGCGGAUCAGCAUGCCGCGGUGAAUACGUUCCCGGGCCCUUGUACACACCGCCCGUCACACCAUGAGAGCCGGUAACACCCGAAGUCAAUAGUCUAACCGCAAGGAGGACAUUGCCGAAGGUGGGAUUGGUAAUUGGGGUGAAGUCGUAACAAGGUACC
rnacentral:rRNA from 1 species